CCUACGGGAGGCAGCAGUGGGGAAUUUUGCGCAAUGACCGAAAGGUUGACGCAGCAACGCCGCGUGUAUGAUGAAGGCUUUCGGGUCGUGAAGUACUUUCAGUGGGGAAGAACUGCAUAAUCAGUAACUGGGUUAUGAUUGACGGUACCCACAGAAGCAGCCCCGGCUAACUCCGUGCCAGCAGCCGCGGUAAUACGGAGGGGGCAAGCGUUGUUCGGAGUCACUGGGCGUAAAGAGCUCGUAGGCGGCAGUGUAAGUCGGGAGUUAAAGGCAACAGCUCAACUGUUGUAAGGCUUCUGAAGCUACAUUGCUAGAGUGCCAGAGAGGUAUGCGGAAUUCCCUGUGUAGCGGUGAAAUGCGUAGAUAUGGGGAGGAACACCGGUUGCGAAGGCGGCAUACUGGCUGGUAACUGACGCUGAGGAGCGAGAGCGUGGGUAGCAAACA
rnacentral:rRNA from 1 species